rnacentral:rRNA from 1 species
AUUGAACGCUGGCGGCAUGCUCUACACAUGCAAGUCGAACGGUAACAGGCCGCAAGGUGCUGACGAGUGGCGAACGGGUGCGUAAUGCAUCGGAACGUGCCCAGUCGUGGGGGAUAACUACUCGAAAGAGUAGCUAAUACCGCAUACGAUCUAUGGCUGAAAGCGGGGGACCGUAAGGCCUCGCGCGAUUGGAGCGGCCGAUGUCAGAUUAGGUAGUUGGUGGGGUAAAGGCUCACCAAGCCAACGAUCUGUAGCUGGUCUGAGAGGACGACCAGCCACACUGGGACUGAGACACGGCCCAGACUCCUACGGGAGGCAGCAGUGGGGAAUUUUGGACAAUGGGCGCAAGCCUGAUCCAGCAAUGCCGCGUGCAGGAAGAAGGCCUUCGGGUUGUAAACUGCUUUUGUACGGAACGAAACGGCUCUGGUUAAUACCCGGGGCUAAUGACGGUACCGUAAGAAUAAGCACCGGCUAACUACGUG